AUGAAGAAUUCUUGCUAUCAACUAGGGCUGGAUGCCCCCAGGAAGAAUGCCGCCCCCGUUGCAUUGCAAGGGCAAUCAGGUCAUGGCAGAAUCAAGCAGGAACUAGGAAGUAGGAAGGGACCAGUCCCGCCCCCAGCGACAAAGACUUCGACAACGGUGACGACAGUGUGUCCCGGCGAGCAUGAGCAAUGGAAGCAUAAUCUCCAAGUAACUGACCAAGACGUUGUCCAGGUCACACGUCGAGGACUUCCUGCCGCCACCUUGGCUGCUGUUGUUGUCCCCUCAAAUAAGCCAUAUAAGGUUAGUUCCAUACACUGCAAAUGCAACUUGCAAGCAUGGGGACAUGUACAGAACACAAGUGUCAUACACACAGAAAUCAUCAACUUUGUGUUUUAA
rnacentral:rRNA from 1 species